AACUCAGUCUAUCUCCAAACUGUUGCUCGAUCUCCUGUUUGCAUUCUUUCACUUGUUCUCUAUAGGAACAGAUCAGGUGAUGAUGGAUAGGAUGAUAACAUAUUGAUUCUUUUUUAUCUCUGAUCUUGUCAGGAUCUUCAAUUUUUUUAUUCUUAAAUGUAGGGCAAAUUUUAUUAUUAAUCUCUAUUACAUUUUCACCUAAUCUUGUAUUUCCGAAAGAAAAUGAGAUAUGCUUAAUUUUUCUCA